rnacentral:tRNA from 1 species
UCCCCAGUGGCGCAACUGGAUAGCGUGCGGUACUUAUAAUACCGAGAUUGUGAGUUCGAUUCUCACCUGAGAAA